AGAUCCCGAUCCAGCGAUCGUCUAUGAAGGACAGAAGCUCGUCCUGCGCUGUCUCGUCAGGAAGGGGACGCAUCUGUCCUUCACAUGGUACCACGACACACAGUUAGUGAACUCCUCGUCAGAGCUCCACCGGCUCUCCGGAGACGCUCUCACGGUGGACGGGGCGACUGAAAUGCAUGCUGGGAUAUACUCAUGCACAGCUCAAAACCAGAUGACCGUCAACCCCAGAUUCUCCAGCAGCCGAAACCUCCACGUCACUGUCAAAAAGCGCAUCUCGGCGCCCUCGUUAUCGUUUACGGUCUUCUCUAACGGCUCCAGCCUGACGGCCAACAUCAGCUGCCGUUCUGAGCGUGGAUCUCCGCCCGUGACGUUCAGAUUGAUGUUGGACGGACUGGAGCUGGAUGUGAAGCGAGUGGAUUCACUAGAGUCCUGGUUCGUUCUGCCGAUCUCUGUGGGUCUGGAUCUGGGAGCCGCUCGAUGUAAAGCACAAACGGAAACACAGCAGCUGCUGUCUGAUCCCGUGCGUUUACUCGUAGUUCCAGUAGGUGGCGCUGUGCGUGUCACAGUAACGUACCUCCACGACGCCGACGGGACGGUGGCAGCCGCUCGGCUCAAAUGUGUCCCAGACAUAGGAACGUUUCCCACAUUCUCCUGGCGUCUGAACCAUUCCUCCCUUCCAGCAGAGGGCGACGCUCACGCGGUCACUCAUCACGGUCAGAUCUUGAUCCUCACAGAUGUCAGCGCUGGGUUUUACCGCUGCAGGGUGAGGGACAGUUUUAACGACAGCUCAGUCUGGGUGGAGAGCGAGGACAUCUUUAUUCAGAAGACAGAUUUGGCAGCGACGCCCGUGGAGGUCAUUGCGUUGGUUUUCUGUGGUUUCCUGUCGAUUGUGAUUGUGUUAGGCUCAUUCUUUAUGUUCUGGAGCACCAAGCGCAGAAACAACAGCUGCAAACAUCACAGUAACCAGGACGUGAUCCAGUCUGAGAUGAUAACAAUGAAUGAUCCUGUAGCUGAUGUUUCCUCUGAACCUCAACCUGUGGAAAUGAAACAGUCAUCAUGGAGUUUGAGGCCUAGAGGUCUAGACCAGUGUCCUGCAGAGACGUCUUGAAGAUUCUAGAAAUCCUGAACACUUUGAUUAGCUCUUUAAUUAAGGUGAAAGAUGAACUCUGACUGGACAUCAAUCACUACUGAGCCAUUUUCCUGUUUUUAAAUUGUUUUCUAUCAAUGAGAUUGUAAGGCUUUUAUAUACCAAAUAAAUGUUUAAUUUAUCAAAUGCUUCUACUGAAUAUAUGCUUUCUAUGGAGAGAGAUUC
rnacentral:lncRNA from 1 species